UACGUAGGGGGCAAGCGUUAUCCGGAUUUACUGGGUGUAAAGGGAGCGUAGACGGCAGCGCAAGUCUGGAGUGAAAUGCCGGGGCCCAACCCCGGAACUGCUCUGGAAACUGUGAAGCUGGAGUGCAGGAGAGGUAAGCGGAAUUCCUGGUGUAGCGGUGAAAUGCGUAGAUAUAUGGAAGAACACCAGUGGCGAAAGCGGCUCUCUGGUCUGUAACUGACGCUGAGGUUCGAAAGCGUGGGUAGCAAACAGG
rnacentral:rRNA from 1 species